rnacentral:rRNA from 1 species
AGAGUUUGAUCCUGGCUCAGGACGAACGCUGGCGGCAUGCCUAACACAUGCAAGUCGAACGAGAAAGUUCCUUCGGGAGCAAUUAAAGUGGCGCACGGGUGAGUAACGCGUAGACAAUCUGCCCUUCAGUCUGGGACAACUUUUCGAAAGGAGAGCUAAUACCGGAUAACAAUGCAUGACACAAGUUGUAUAUUUGAAAGCUUUAUGUGCUGAAGGAGGGGUCUGCGUCCCAUUAGCUAGUUGGUAAGGUAAAGGCUUACCAAGGCAACGAUGGGUAGCGGGUUUGAGAGGACGAUCCGCCACACUGGAACUGAGACACGGUCCAGACUCCUACGGGAGGCAGCAGUGGGGAAUAUUGCACAAUGGAGGAAACUCUGAUGCAGCAACGCCGCGUGGAGGAUGACGCAUUUCGGUGUGUAAACUCCUUUUAUAUGUCAAGAAAAUGACGGUAGCAUAUGAAUAAGCACCGGCUAACUCCGUGCCAGCAGCCGCGGUAAUACGGAGGGUGCAAGCGUUAAUCGGAAUUACUGGGCGUAAAGCGUGCGUAGGUGGUUUGUUAAGUUAGAUGUGAAAGCCCUGGGCUCAACCUAGGAACUGCAUUUAAAACUGGCAAACUAGAGUAUAGGAGAGGAAAGUGGAAUUUCAGGUGUAGCGGUGAAAUGCGUAGAUAUCUGAAGGAACAUCAAUGGCGAAGGCAGCUUUCUGGACUAAUACUGACACUGAGGUACGAAAGCGUGGGUAGCAAACAGGAUUAGAUACCCUGGUAGUCCACGCCGUAAACGAUGACAACUAGCCGUUGGGAGGAUUUACCUCUUAGUGGCGAAGCUAACGCGUUAAGUUGUCCGCCUGGGGAGUACGGCCGCAAGGUUAAAACUCAAAGGAAUUGACGGGGACCCGCACAAGCGGUGGAGCAUGUGGUUUAAUUCGAUGCAACGCGAAGAACCUUACCUGGUCUUGACAUACACGGAACUUUCCAGAGAUGGAUUGGUGCCUUCGGGAACCGUGAUACAGGUGCUGCAUGGCUGUCGUCAGCUCGUGUCGUGAGAUGUUGGGUUAAGUCCCGUAACGAGCGCAACCCUUAUCCUUAUUUGCCAGCACAUCAUGGUGGGAACUAUAAGGAGACUGCCGGUGAUAAACCGGAGGAAGGCGGGGACGACGUCAAGUCAUCAUGGCCCUUACGACCAGGGCUACACACGUGCUACAAUGGGAAGGACAAAGGGUUGCUAAGCCGCGAGGUGGUGCUAAUCUCAUAAACCUUUUCGUAGUCCGGAUCGGAGUCUGCAACUCGACUCCGUGAAGUCGGAAUCGCUAGUAAUCGUAGAUCAGAACGCUACGGUGAAUACGUUCCCGGGUCUUGUACACACCGCCCGUCAUACCAUGGGAGUGGGUUGCACCAGAAGUAGCUAGUCUAACUGUUUACAGGGGACGGUUACCACGGUGUGAUUCAUGACUGGGGUAAAGUCGUAACAAGGUAACCCUAGCGGAAGCUGGGGUUG